UACGGGGGGGGCGAGCGUUAUUCGGAAUUAUUGGGCGUAAAGGGCGCGUAGGCGGCCUAGUAAGUCAAAGGUGAAAUCCCUCGGCUUAACCGAGGAACUGCCUUUGAUACUGCUAGGCUUGAGGCCGGGAGGGGGUAGCGGAAUUCCCAGUGUAGCGGUGAAAUGCGUAGAUAUUGGGAGGAACACCAGUGGCGAAGGCGGCUACCUGGACCGGUGCUGACGCUGAUGCGCGAAAGCGUGGGGAGCAAACAGG
rnacentral:rRNA from 1 species